rnacentral:rRNA from 1 species
CCUACGGGAGGCAGCAGUGAGGAAUAUUGGACAAUGGGCGCAAGCCUGAUCCAGCCAUGCCGCGUGCAGGAUGACGGUCCUAUGGAUUGUAAACUGCUUUUGUACAGGAAGAAACAGUUCUACGUGUAGAACCUUGACGGUACUGUAAGAAUAAGGAUCGGCUAACUCCGUGCCAGCAGCCGCGGUAAUACGGAGGAUCCAAGCGUUAUCCGGAAUCAUUGGGUUUAAAGGGUCCGUAGGCGGUCUAGUAAGUCAGUGGUGAAAGCCCAUCGCUCAACGGUGGAACGGCCAUUGAUACUGCUAGACUUGAAUUAUUAGGAAGUAACUAGAAUAUGUAGUGUAGCGGUGAAAUGCUUAGAGAUUACAUGGAAUACCAAUUGCGAAGGCAGGUUACUACUAAUGGAUUGACGCUGAUGGACGAAAGCGUGGGUAGCGAACAGGAUUAGAUACCCUGGUAGUCCACGCCGUAAACGAUGGAUACUAGCUGUUGGAAGCAAUUUCAGUGGCUAAGCGAAAGUGAUAAGUAUCCCACCUGGGGAGUACGUUCGCAAGAAUGAAACUUAAAGGAUUGACGNNGAGAGNGCGAGAGACAGAGGGAGAGG